AUGGCCACACGUCAUCAAUCUAGCAGACAACAGAGGGGGUAUUUAGCAAAAUUGCUUCAAAAAAAACAUCAUUUGUUAUAUUUAUUUCUCUCUCUAUUCGCUCUCAUCUCCAACGCUCUCAACCAACAUACUCACCGAAAAUCGCCCCUUUGGCUGAGCCAUCCUAAAAUGCCCUGGGAUUUCCAGUUUCCGGUUGAAGAUCAACCAGAACAUUCAACCAAACCCAAAAAUUUUAGAACCCUAAGUGAGGACCAUCGUGGAUAG